UGGACGCGGUGGCGCGGGCCGGAGAGUAACCGGUGGGGACCCAGCUGGCAGAGACGGGUGGCUGCAACCCGAGGGACAUCGACGUCCUGCCUGCGGGAUUUGGGGGCUGCCUCCGCGUCCGUCUCUCUCCCUCUGAAGGCGGCUCCAGUGUCUCUUUACCUUUCGCCGCUGGCGAAAUCGGGAGUUCAUAGGACGCAGGCGCACGCGGACGGUUCGCUGUGGGGACCACUCCUGGAGAUGCGGUAGAUGAACUUAAUAUGUGAAAAGACCUCCCUCUUUCUCCGUGAAUUGAGGAAUUUCAUCUUGUAGGAGAUGUGCAUUUUUAUGUGUCUGUAUCAGCUGUUUAAAGAAGGAAGAAAAAAGAGCAAAGCUUGCAGAGGCUGCGGAGAGGAGACAGAAGGAGGCUGCAUCUCGGGGUAUUCUGAAUGUUCAGUCUGUGGAAGAAAAGAGAAAGAAAAAGGAAAAACUAGAAAAAGAAAUGGCUACAUCUGGACCCCCACCGGAAGGUGGACUUAGGUGGACAGUUUCAUAAAGCAUAGCAUGAAUGGAAGAGUCUACUGCCAGUAACUAAUAUCUGCAAUCAAGUGGACAUCCUCAAUUUAAUUUCUUCUCUUUGAAUAAAUGCAGAUUCAGAAUUUGUAAUUUUAGUGCUCUCAAGUGCAGUGCUUUUUCAAAAUUGAAUAUUGAAAAUGCUUUUGAUUGUUAGAGUUAGAAAAUGGCCAGACCUUUCAUUAAAUUCUUAUUUCCCCUACCUUUGCUCUUCUACAGAUGGUGGGUGAUUUGCCACUUUUUAGUAGUUAAAACAUGGGCCUAAAUAGUGAAUAUAUAUUUGUAUAUUGCAUGGAAAAAUUCUGCAUAUGUCUCAUGUUUAAAGUUGCACUUGUAUUUUCCCUCCUUUAUGAAAUGAUCUAGCGCUUUAUAAUUUGUCGCUUAACCUUAUAUUUCAUUUUUUCAUUAUAUGUGGAGACUUUUGCUUAAACUUGUAGACUUUAGUGCCUUUUAAACUGAUCAUCAGGGAAAAUCUUGAAAUAUCAUUUGAAGGGCUUAUAUGAAGGAACACUGUACAUUUUUCUAACUUACUAAGAAAUUAAUAUUUAUUUCUAGAGAACAUAAAAUAUCUCCUAAUUUCUAUUUCUGUAGCUUAUAAAAUUAACAUACUCUCUUUUGCAUUAUAAUAAAGUUUUUUUUUUU